CUGCCCGCCCGGUUCGCUCGCCCUUGGUUCCCACUCCCAGGUGGCUGCAGACUGGAGUGUGUUUCAUGGACGAGCAACCUCCCUGAGGAGAACCCCGGAUACGCAGGUUCAUUCGCCAGAUGCGAGUUUUCUUAAGCCGCUGCGAUUCUCUGAUUUCAGUAUGAACUUGAGUCACCAGUAAAAUGAGCAUUCAUUCAUUAAGCCAAUCAUCAGGAAUGGAUCUAGGAAGAACCUACUGUUUACUAGAAAUAGGUUAGAUCUGUGGAUAUAACAAUGAAUAAGACAAGACUGGUGGAUCUAUAGAGAAACUAUUACUGCACAGGUGAUGGGGAAAUCAAGAGUACUAUGGGGCCAAGGAGACUGUCCUGCAGCAAAUGAGGAAUAAGCUGAAACAUCAGUAGGAGCCAUCCCAGAGAAAAGGGACAGGGUUCUAGAUCCAGAGAACAACAGAAGAGCAUUCAGCGCCUGCAAGGGAGCAGGGGAUCUAAUGCAAAGCCAUUGCAUAACCAGUCAACUUUCCCCACAUCACAAGAUUGCCUAGCCUGGAUGGCCCCAGAAUGUUGAAACAAAUGUCUAAUUAGUAACGACAUUCUGAAUGCUUGGGAGCUGAGCAAAAUAUGAGGAGAAGCAACCUGAUUUUUGUUUCAUAUUAUCAUCUCCUUUAUUCCAGCAACAAAAGACACUGAAAAUAGUAAAUGCCCACUUUCAACCAUGACAGCCCUUUUAGGAUAGUAACGGCAUUCCGUAUGAGGACAUCUGUCCCCACCCCUGGAUGAAAACUUGGGUGAUCCCGAAAUUUUUCUGAUUGCUCACAGGUAAUAAAAAUCAUUUGGUCAGUUUAAA
rnacentral:lncRNA from 10 species